rnacentral:lncRNA from 1 species
UGGGUUGGAAUGUUUGUACUGGUCUGUGGCGGUGGUUGUCGGCUGUCCUGCCAGGAAAACUCGGCACUGACUAUCCCACUGCUGAUGCUGUAAAAGAGGUCCUUCUGCUAUGACGCAACUGUGGUUCCUCUGGUUCUGGGGACACUUAGGCCUCGCGUGCCGAUUUUCAUAGUUCCCUGUGGCCCCGAGCCGAGGGAGCCGCGGUGUGGAACGGAGGGAACCGGUGAUCUCAGUGCUGAAGAAAACAGGGAGUGAACCAAAGAGAAGUGAAGGAAUGUGUCCAAGGGCUCCCAAGUUGGCGGUGGAAUUAGAAUUGAAGCCUCAGCUCCAAAGCCUGUGUUCUGAACUACCCGGUUGCAGUUCACAAAAUACACUUUGGCAGUACUUUCAUAACGAAAACAAAUGAUUACAACCAGUUUACAAAUGCUUUGCUUUACUGGAGGAUCGACAUGUUUGACUAAUUUUCAAAAAUAAAUCUCAGAAGCAGCA